rnacentral:tRNA from 1 species
UCCCUGGUGGUCUAAUGGUUAGGAUUCAGAGCUUUUACCCCUGCAGCCUGGGUUCAGUCCCUGGUCUGGGAA